GUUUUUUCGACAUCUUUUGGCGUUUCAUUAACAGUUGGAGUGCUCUCAACCUUAGCGGUUGAAGUAGCAAUGGCCCGGUCAUUGAGUUCCUGGAGCCGAGCCAUAUGCUUCUUCCCUGUCCUGUGUGGCUCCAUUGAUUUCUCAGAAAAAGCCCCUACUUUGCUUGUUGCACACAAGAAUUUGAACUUUUUCUUCUUAGUCGCCUUAGUCUUUUGCUUUUCCUGAGCAGCAUUUGCACCUUUUUCCAAGCCAUCAGCAUGGUGUUGCAAAGAUGGUGUGACGUUGUCCUUUGUACCUUCUUUCUCCAAAAUCUCUAGAGAUGUUCCCUCCACCAAUUUAUUACCAGGCAAGAAUUCAACUUUCGAUUUUAUGUUGAGAUUGUCAUCAACCGAGGGAGGGGUAGUAUUUUGGCCAAUACUUUCACCGGUUUUAGCUUUUCCUUUA
rnacentral:lncRNA from 1 species